AUCGCCGGUGCGUCCACGUCUACAAAUUCCGGGAGACACGUCUUUUAGAAUUUAAGGGAUGAUCACUGCAUGUGCAAAUUGCAAUUAAAUCAAAAUGUGAUGUAUUUUGAAGCUAUUUUUUAAGGUUAUGUGCAAAACACAAAUUCGAUAAUAAUUCGUGUAUUUUUUAGCUAUUAACCCAAUAAUAAAUGAAAAUAAACCUUCAAUCACAAAGAUCUAAGUUGAAUGAACAUUUUAAUAGAUAAAUACAAUAAGUCAAUAAUUGAGUUGGAGAGCUCGAAAAUUACAUUAUUAUUAUUUUUUGACGGAAAAAAUUACAUUUAUUUUGGAUGCAUAAAUAAAUGAUGAUAAUAAUAUUGACAUAAUUGUCCUUCCACUUCCAUCGGGAAAAGGGAUAAAAAUAAAGAGAAAAUUCCCAAAUAAGAGAUAAUUAGGUAGACCCGGUCCAUAGAGCCCAUCAGCUGCAGAUCAUGCACCCAAAAUUACUUUCAAAUUCCGCCUCCGCCGUCCCUGCCGCCACCACGUCCGCCGUCGCCUUGGUAAACCACGCCCCUCCUUCAAUUGCAGAGAUGGAAAAUUCUGGAUUCGACCUGGAACUCCACGGAGCUGCCUGUGGAGAUAGUGAUGAAGAAGGAGUUGCACUGCCACGUUCUGUUGGAGAAGUCGUUGAUGGGAAUGAGGGGCAAGAUGAAGGUCAUAUUUUGGAGUUGGAAAAGAAAUUAUUGGAGCAAGUCGUGUACAGUGAGGAAGAAGCAUACAUGCUGUACUGUGAUUAUGCGACUGCCAUGGGUUUUAAUGUACGUAGGGGAAAGCAAUACUAUUUUAUGGGAACCAAAAGGGUAAGAUCAAAAACUUACUGCUGCUCAAAGGAAGGGGUUAAAGAUGAUAAAGCAGAUACCAAUGGUGUUGGUUACAAAAAGCCGGAAACAAGAACAGGAUGCAGAGCAAUGAUAUCUUUCAUUUGUGAUGAUAGUGGCCAAUGGAAGGUUUCCAGGUUUGUAAAGGAGCAUAAUCAUGAAAUGGCCCCGCCAUAUGCAAAGCCCUUGGUGAAAUCUGGCCAAGCUAUUUUGGCUGCAAAUGUUUAUGGAAGUGGCGGUGCUCUAGAAUCACUGUGUUCAAGAAUCUACUUCAUAUUAUCAUUUGGUUUGAUACGAUGCUUCUUGGAUAUGAGCUGCUAGGCUGGAGCUACUGUCUGAAAAUUCUGAUGUUGUUUCAAGUUUGUCAAACACUAUAUUCUAGUGAACACGAUAAAAUUCGGGAACUAUCUUUACAACUAGCCAUUGCCAAAAAUCGUGCUGAAACUUCUGAAAAGUUAGCUGCUACAUACAAGCGGCAACUACAUAUGAUUGUUGGGCACAUUGAAGAUCAUAACCAGUCCUUGUCGAAUAAGAUUCAGAAAGUUCUGAACAACGUCGAGGAGUUGGAAUCUGAAGAUCGGAAGAAGUUGUAGAGUUGUUCUUCAUCAGAAAAAUUGCGUAAUGCCAUGGAUAAGAUUGGUUGCAAAUAGUUGUUUUAGUGAAGCUAACUCUAGAAGGGCCCCAUUGUUGUAAGAAGAACAUUUCAAUAGGUGUUGAUCUGUUGUUUAUUUGUAUAUAUGCACAUUAUAGUAGGUGUAGUUUUUAAUGGACGCUACAAUCUCUGUAGCGUCCAUUAAAACUGAUGGUAAGAUUUUUUGAGGAAGAAAAUCCUCAGUGAAAAAUAUUAAUGGCUUUUGAUCA